rnacentral:lncRNA from 1 species
CUGCUUGCGCACUCUGUAGAGCCGCGCCGCGCGCUCACUAAUGCGUCAUAUCGCCAUCGAAGCUAACGCGCUUUCCGCCACUCUGGAAGUACAAUUCGCGCGCGCCAUGUGAACUUAUGUGUUGACUUAUGUACAGACAUGCGACGCGUCAGCGUGUUCGGGAAGCUUAAAUUCGACUUCAAUAUGACUUUUGCCGUUAUGGACAGUGACUUUGGUGCCUGUGAGCUGAGAGACAGUAUAGUGGUACACGCGGUUGGCGCACGUGCUCGCGUCUUCUUCCUAAAACUGAGUACAAUGGCCGACAGACUCCAGCUCCUCCAGCAGCAGCUGAAGCAGUGAAAGAUUUCCUAAUGGAUCAAUUACAAAAUGAUAUGCGCUGAUUGCCCAGGUAUAUCAGAUGGGGCGACCUGUGGCUCGGCGGGAGAACUAUCAUCAUUGCUCGAUUUUAAUUCGAGGUGAUCCCUGUCUUUGAAGAAAAUGCCGUGAUCGAACGUUCGAGAUAAAGAAAACAAAAUGGCUGACCUAUACAAAUAAAAGCUUGCGCUGGAGAGGCCGGUGAACGCGGGGAGCCAGCUGACCCGUUCCUGACGUUCUCUCAACAGAUGGCGAAAUCUUCGGCGUCGUGUGAUUCACAAUCAAAAACUCUGUAUUGUAUAUCAAUAAAGUGAUUCAAUAUUAUAAAAUAAAAGUAAACCCUAA